CCUACGGGGGGCUGCAGUGGGGGAUAUUGCACAAUGGGGGAAACCCUGAUGCAGCGACGCCGCGUGUGGGAAGACGGUCCUCUGGAUUGUAAACCACUGUCCCCAGGGACGAAGAUGACGGUACCUGGGGCGGAAGCUCCGGCUAACUACGUGCCAGCAGCCGCGGUAAUACGUAGGGAGCGAGCGUUGUCCGGAAUUACUGGGUGUAAAGGGAGCGUAGGCGGGACUGCAAGUUGGGUGUCAAAUCUACCGGCUCAACCGGUAGCCGCACUCAAAACUGCAGUUCUUGAGUGAAGUAGAGGCAGGCGGAAUUCCUAGUGUAGCGGUGAAAUGCGUAGAUAUUAGGAGGAACACCAGUGGCGAAGGCGGCCUGCUGGGCUUUGACUGACGCUGAGGCUCGAAAGUGUGGGGAGCAAACAGGAUUAGAUACCCCAGUAGUC
rnacentral:rRNA from 1 species